CGCGGGGUGGAGCAGCCCGGUAGCUCGUCAGGCUCAUAACCUGAAGGUCGUAGGUUCAAAUCCUACCCCGCAACCA
rnacentral:tRNA from 1 species